UGGGGAAUAUUGCACAAUGGGCGCAAGCCUGAUGCAGCCAUGCCGCGUGUAUGAAGAAGGCCUUCGGGUUGUAAAGUACUUUCAGCGGGGAGGAAGGCGAUAAGGUUAAUAACCUUGUCGAUUGACGUUACCCGCAGAAGAAGCAUCGGCUAACUCCGUGCCAGCAGCCGCGGUAAUACGGAGGGUGCAAGCGUUAAUCGGCAUUACUGGGCGUAAAGCGCACGCAGGCGGUCUGUCAAGUCGGAUGUGAAAUCCCCGGGCUCAACCUGGGAACUGCAUUCGAAACUGGCAGGCUAGAGUCUUGUAGAGGGGGGUAGAAUUCCAGGUGUAGCGGUGAAAUGCGUAGAGAUCUGGAGGAAUACCGGUGGCGAAGGCGGCCCCCUGGACAAAGACUGACGCUCAGGUGCGAAAGCGUGGGGAGCAAACA
rnacentral:rRNA from 1 species